rnacentral:rRNA from 1 species
UACGUAGGGGGCAAGCGUUGUCCGGAAUUAUUGGGCGUAAAGAGCUCGUAGGCGGUCUGUCGCGUCUGCUGUGAAAACUCAGGGCUUAACCCUGAGCUUGCAGUGGGUACGGGCAGACUAGAGUGCGGUAGGGGAGACUGGAAUUCCUGGUGUAGCGGUGAAAUGCGCAGAUAUCAGGAGGAACACCGGUGGCGAAGGCGGGUCUCUGGGCCGUAACUGACGCUGGAGGAAGCGAAAGCAUGGGGAGCGAACAGG